rnacentral:rRNA from 1 species
GAUGAACGCUAGCUACAGGCUUAACACAUGCAAGUCGAGGGGCAGCAUGGUCUUAGCUUGCUAAGGCCGAUGGCGACCGGCGCACGGGUGAGUAACACGUAUCCAACCUGCCGUCUACUCUUGGACAGCCUUCUGAAAGGAAGAUUAAUACAAGAUGGCAUCAUGAGUCCGCAUGUUCACAUGAUUAAAGGUAUUCCGGUAGACGAUGGGGAUGCGUUCCAUUAGAUAGUAGGCGGGGUAACGGCCCACCUAGUCUUCGAUGGAUAGGGGUUCUGAGAGGAAGGUGCCCGACAUUGGAACUGGGACAAGGUCCAAACUCCUACGGGAGGCAGCAGUGAGGAAUAUUGGACAGUGGGCGAAGGCCUGAACCAGCCAAGUAGCGUGAAGGAUGACUGCGCUAUGGGUUGUAAACUUCUUUUAUAAAGGAAUAAAGUCGGGUAAGGAUACCCGUUUGCAUGUACUUUAUGAAUAAGGAUCGGCUAACUCCGUG